rfam:Bacteroides reticulotermitis JCM 10512 DNA, contig: contig00036.
GGUGCGUUAGUUCAGUUGGUUAGAAUACCUGCCUGUCACGCAGGGGGUCACGAGUUCGAGUCUCGUACGCACCG